UAACGCGUGGGUAACCUGCCUCGUACAGGGGGAUAACAGUUAGAAAUGACUGCUAAUACCGCAUGAGCGCACAGUGCUGCAUGGCACAGUGUGAAAAACUCCGGUGGUAUGAGAUGGACCCGCGUCUGAUUAGCUAGUUGGUGGGGUAACGGCCUACCAAGGCGACGAUCAGCAGCCGGCCUGAGAGGGUGAACGGCCACAUUGGGACUGAGACACGGCCCAA
rnacentral:rRNA from 1 species